UACAGAGGUCCCAAGCGUUGUUCGGAUUCAUUGGGCGUAAAGGGUGCGUAGGCGGGUCUUUAAGUCAGGGGUGAAAUCCUGGAGCUCAACUCCAGAACUGCCUUUGAUACUGAAGAUCUUGAGUCCGGGAGAGGUGAGUGGAACUGCGAGUGUAGAGGUGAAAUGCGUAGAUAUCGUAAGGAAGACCAGUGGCGAAGGCGGGUCUCUGGACAGUUCCCGACGCUGAGGCACGAAGGUCAGGG
rnacentral:rRNA from 1 species